CUCCACCCAGACCAAGCGUAAUGCAGGACGCCACAGCACAGAUGGCCGUGCUUCAGUUCAUUAGCUCUGGACUGCCCAGGGUCACCGUACCAUCAACCAUCCACUGUGACCAUCUUAUUCAAGUACAGAUCGAUGGCCCUCAGGAUCUCCAGCGAGCCAUUGAAAUCAGCAAAGAGGUCUACAAUUUCCCGGCUACUGCUGGGGCCAAGUAUGGAGUUGGAUUCUGGAAGCCUGGCUCUGGGAUUAUUCAUCAGAUCAUUUUGGAGAACUACGCUUUCCCCGGGCACUGAUUCUCACACGCCCAACGUAGGUGGUCUUGGAGGCCUGUGCAUUGGUGUGGGUGGUGCCGAUGCUGUUGAUGUUAUGGCCGACAUUUCCUGGGAGCUGAAGUGCCCUAAGUUUGUCCUCCCACAGGCCCCGUCUAUGAGGCUAGUGAAGCAGCCUCUUGUGAAUCGGCUGCUUUCUUGAAACAUGAGUCAGUGAUCAACCUCUGCCACACAAUGAUCUUGAAAACAUUUCCCCCUAUGUUUAUAAAAGGUCCUGGCUACUGGACCUGUUCACUUGCCUCCCCCAUCACUCUGACACUCACAUGCCAUAACCUGUAAACAGACAUACUGUCUGCUUGACGGGUAGUGGUAUAUUGAUGCUUCAGCAAGGUUCUCUUCGCAGUGCUGAGUCCAUCCCCCUACAGGAGCUAACAGCUGGCUUGCAGCCCCUAAAUUAUGUGGUCGAGCCGGAUCAGCCCUUUCAACCCGCAAUCCAUUGGUGGAUUGUCUUCGCCAUUGUCGUGAUCCUGGUUCUUCUGCUGGUGACGUCUGCCGUGGGGUAUUCCUAUGUCCUACGCUACGCACGACGCCGCCUAAUUCCAGACUCGAACCAACUGCAGACAUUGCAAGGCGUAUCUUCUCCACCAACACCUGUGAGAUCUCAGGGGCGAGAUC